AGAGUUUGAUCAUGGCUCAGAACGUACGCUGGCGGCACGCCUAACACAUGCAAGUCGAACGAAGUAGCAAUACUUAGUGGCAGACGGGUGAGUAACAUGUAGGUAUCUGCCCUUUGGCCUGGAAUAACACGAGGAAACUUGUGCUAAUACCGGAUAAGUCUUUACGGAGAAAGCUUUAUGCACCAUUGGAUGANCCUGCACUUGAUUAGUUUGUUGGUGGGGUAAUGNCCUACCAAGACUGUGAUCAAUAGCUGAUUUGAGAGGAUGAUCAGCCACAUUGGGACUGAGNCNCGGCCCAAACUCCUACGGGAGGCAGCAGUGGGGAAUCUUGCACAAUGGAGGAAACUCUGAUGCAGCGAUGCCGCGUGAGUGAAGAAGGCCUUUGGGUUGUAAAGCUCUUUCGUCGGGGAAGAAAAUGAACUGACCCGAAUAAGA
rnacentral:rRNA from 1 species